rnacentral:rRNA from 1 species
CAGUAGCCGCGGGAAUACGUAGGUCCCGAGCGUUGUCCGGAUUUAUUGGGCGUAAAGCGAGCGCAGGCGGUUAGAUAAGUCUGAAGUUAAAGGCUGUGGCUUAACCAUAGUAUGCUUUGGAAACUGUUUAACUUGAGUGCAGAAGGGGAGAGUGGAAUUCCAUGUGUAGCGGUGAAAUGCGUAGAUAUAUGGAGGAACACCGGUGGCGAAAGCGGCACUCUGGUCUGUAACUGACGCUGAGGCUCGAAAGCGUGGGGAGCAAACAGGAUUAGAUACCCCCGUAGUCCCUGUCUCUUAUACA